GACGAACGCUGGCGGCGUGCUUAACACAUGCAAGUCGAACGGAAAGGCCCUGCUUUUGUGGGGUGCUCGAGUGGCGAACGGGUGAGUAACACGUGAGUAACCUGCCCUUGACUUUUGGAUAACUUCAGGAAACUGGGGCUAAUACCGGAUAGGAGCUCCUGCUGCAUGGUGGGGGUUGGAAAGUUUCGGCGGUUGGGGAUGGACUCGCGGCUUAUCAGCUUGUUGGUGGGGUAGUGGCUUACCAAGGCUUUGACGGGUAGCCGGCCUGAGAGGGUGGCCGGCCACAUUGGGACUGAGAUACGGCCCAGACUCCUACGGGAGGCAGCAGUGGGGAAUAUUGCACAAUGGGCGGAAGCCUGAUGCAGCAACGCCGCGUGCGGGAUGACGGCCUUCGGGUUGUAACCCGCUUUCGCCUGUGACGAAGCGUGAGUGACGGUAAUGGGUAAAGAAGCACCGGCUAACUACGUG
rnacentral:rRNA from 1 species